rnacentral:rRNA from 1 species
UACAGAGGUCUCAAGCGUUGUUCGGAUUCAUUGGGCGUAAAGGGUGCGCAGGCGGCGUCGUAAGUCGGGUGUGAAAUCUCGGGGCUCAACUCCGAAAUUGCAUUCGAUACUGCGGUGCUUGAGGACUGGAGAGGAGACUGGAAUUCACGGUGUAGCAGUGAAAUGCGUAGAUAUCGUGAGGAAGACCGGUGGCGAAGGCGGGUCUCUGGACAGUUCCUGACGCUGAGGCACGAAGGCCAGGGGAGCAAACGGG